CAGUUUAUAUUUUGCUCAGUCGAAACCAAUUCAUUGCUCAAAAUACAUAAAUCCACACGCUAAAUUCACAAGAUAAAACUUUUUUUUUCCUUUUUUCGUGUGACGAGAUCUAAAAUCAAACAAAUAUGUUCGGUCAAUCGUGCUAUCCUGGAGCCUGCAUUGGAAGUUGCGGUGGUUGCGGGCCUAGCGGAUUCUAUGAUUCCUGUUAUGGACCUUUUAACGGCCCAUUCAAUAGUUGGUGUGGACCAAGCGGUCCAGGCUUUUGGCACGGACGUUGCUGCUAAAAUCAAUGUGAUUCGCCUUCUUUUCGAGCAGCGGGCAGGUGAUAUUAGUUUGAAGCGGUUGGAAGAUCUCUCUUGCAGAAGAAAAUAAGGAAAAAUAUAACGUUUUAUCUUAACCCCAAAUAAUUUAGACAAUAAAUGAUGUGAGAAAUAAUAGA